AUACGGAGGAUGCGAGCGUUAUCCGGAUUUAUUGGGUUUAAAGGGAGCGUAGGUGGGAUAUUAAGUCAGCUGUGAAAGUUUGGGGCUCAACCUUAAAAUUGCAGUUGAUACUGGUUUCCUUGAGUACGGUACAGGUGGGCGGAAUUCGUGGUGUAGCGGUGAAAUGCUUAGAUAUCACGAAGAACUCCGAUCGCGAAGGCAGCUCACCGGGCCGGAACUGACACUGAUGCUCGAAAGUGCGGGUAUCAAACAGGAUUAGAUACCCUGGUAGUCCGCGCAGUAAACGAUGAAUACUCGCUGUUUGCGAUACACUGUAAGCGGCCAAGCGAAAGCGUUAAGUAUUCCACCUGGGGAGUACGCCGGCAACGGCGAAACUCAAAGGAAUUGACGGGG
rnacentral:rRNA from 1 species